GACGAACUGUGCGAACGUUGUUCGGAAUCACUGGGCUUAAAGGGUGCGUAGGCGGCUCGUUAAGUCGGGGGUGAAAUACUUCGGCUCAACCGUAGAAGUGCCGCCGAUACUGGGAGUCUCGAGGGAGGUAGGGGUCGAGGGAACUUCCGGUGGAGCGGUGAAAUGCGUAGAUAUCGGAAGGAACGCCGGUGGCGAAGGCGGCUCACUGGUUCAUUACUGACGCUGAGGUGCGAAAGCGUGGGGAGCAAACAGG
rnacentral:rRNA from 1 species